GCCACCCUAGCUCAGUUGGUAGAGCGGCUGAUUCGUAAUCAGCAGGUCAGCGGUUCGAUCCCGCUGGGUGGCU
rnacentral:tRNA from 1 species